rnacentral:misc_RNA from 1 species
ACGGCUUGGCUAUAACUAGGAUAGACUUUAAAAUGGCUAAUCAGUGCAUCUUUACGAUGCACUUGUUUGGAAGGUCUGUUCAUUGGUUAAAUCAUACCAUACGAAACGCCGUCCCUGGAUGCUACAGCUCUUUUCAAACUGUACCGUCGCGAUGCUUCGGUGGUAAUUCAAGCUAUAAUAGAGCAGAACAAAGUCAGGAAAGAACAUCACAAGGACUGCCCAAGAAGUUUCCAGUCGCAGGUGUCAGGCAUGUCGUCCUGGUGGCAUCUGGCAAAGGUGGUGUUGGGAAAUCCACCACUGCUGUCAACUUGGCUUUGGCACUUUCCUUGCAUGAAACGAAGCCAACCGUGGGGCUUCUUGAUGCAGAUGUGUAUGGACCCUCCAUUCCACGCAUGAUGAACCUGAGUGGUGAACCAGAAUUGACUCAACAAAACCUUAUGAAGCCACUCGUUAAUUAUGGGAUUAAAUGCAUGUCCAUGGGGUUUUUGGUCGACGACAAGGCGCCCAUUGUGUGGCGAGGCCUUAUGGUCAUGUCUGCCAUUGAGAAACUGCUUCGGCAGGUAGCUUGGGGGCCACUAGACUAUCUUGUUGUUGAUAUGCCACCAGGAACAGGAGACACGCAGCUUUCCAUCUCCCAGAACAUUCCAGUGUCAGGGGUGGUUGUAGUGACAACACCUCAAGAAAUUGCACUUAUUGAUGCACGCAAGGGGGCUGAGAUGUUUCGCAAGGUCAGUGUGCCUAUACUUGGGCUGGUGCAGAAUAUGAGUCGGCUUGCCUGCCCAAGCUGUGGCCAUGAGUCUCACAUAUUUGGCAAAGAUGGUGCCUCCGAACUUGCCAGGGAGAUGGCGCUUGAUAUUUUGGAGAAAAGAUCACGUUUGAAGAAGAAAACCAUCUUUCAUCAAGACACUGCAUCGGUGCACAAAGGGCAUCCACCAAUCACGAAAUUGCACGACUUGAAGUACGAAUUGUUGAAGCAACCACCCUAGUGUCGUGACUUGGCCCCGUCGGUCUACCACCUGUUCCCGAAACUCAAAAUCUUAUGGUGAUGUUCCACUUGACAUAGAGAUAAGGGAGAGUUCUGACAAUGGUCAGCCAAUUGUGGUGUCUAAUGGAACUUCUCCCCAGGC